CAGCCGCCGCGGUAACACGAAGGGGGCUAGCGUUGCUCGGAAUGACUGGGCGUAAAGGGCGCGUAGGCGGCGAUCAAAGUCAGGCGUGAAAUUCCUGGGCUUAACCUGGGGACUGCGCUUAAUACAGGCAGUCUAGAGUGAGGAAGAGGGUUGUGGAAUUCCCAGUGUAGAGGUGAAAUUCGUAGAUAUUGGGAAGAACACCGGUGGCGAAGGCGGCAACCUGGUCCUUGACUGACGCUGAGGCGCGAAAGUGUGGGGAGCAAACAGGAUUAGAGACCCCCGUAGUCCCUGUCUCUUAUAC
rnacentral:rRNA from 1 species